UACGGGAGAUGCAAGCGUUGUUCGGAAUCACUGGGCUUAAAGCGCGUGUAGGCGGCAAGGUAAGUACCUUGUGAAAUCCCUCCUCUCAAUGGAGGAAUUGCUUGGUAUACUGCCCUGCUUGAGGCAGGUAGGGGUGCCUGGAACUCUAGGUGGAGCGGUGAAAUGCGUAGAUAUUCGGAGGAACACCAGUGGCGAAGGCGGCUCACUGGUCCAUUACUGACGCUGAGGUGCGAAAGCGUGGGGAGCAAACAGG
rnacentral:rRNA from 1 species